rnacentral:lncRNA from 1 species
CAAAAAACGAUUUAAUACACAAGAUUAUCAGAUUUUAAUGCUGGUGUAAUUACACAUUUGAAAAUAACUCGCUGAAAAUUUACAUGAAAAGAUGUGCACCAAACAGAAAUUCUGUUGUUGCUAUAGCGACAGUGUAGAAACGCAGACGCAUGCACUGCGUGCCGCAAUUCGAACAUUUUUAAAAAUGCCGAAUGUUAUUUACAAUGUCACUGAACAAGUAUGGAUGGUUCGGGCACAUAAUUCAAGCUUAUCCUAUAGGCGCAUGAGAGAUUAUUUUGCGGUGCUGUACUCUGGAAGACCUAUUCCAUCCGUGUCAACAAUUAAAUCUGUUG